rnacentral:rRNA from 1 species
AUUGAACGCUGGCGGCAGGCCUAACACAUGCAAGUCGAGCGGAUGAAGGGAGCUUGCUCCUGGAUUCAGCGGCGGACGGGUGAGUAAUGCCUAGGAAUCUGCCUGGUAGUGGGGGAUAACGUCCGGAAACGGGCGCUAAUACCGCAUACGUCCUGAGGGAGAAAGUGGGGGAUCUUCGGACCUCACGCUAUCAGAUGAGCCUAGGUCGGAUUAGCUAGUUGGUGGGGUAAAGGCCUACCAAGGCGACGAUCCGUAACUGGUCUGAGAGGAUGAUCAGUCACACUGGAACUGAGACACGGUCCAGACUCCUACGGGAGGCAGCAGUGGGGAAUAUUGGACAAUGGGCGAAAGCCUGAUCCAGCCAUGCCGCGGGUGUGAAGAAGGUCUUCGGAUUGGAAAGCACUUUAAGUUGGGAGGAAGGGCAGUAAGUUAAUACCUUGCUGGUUUGACGUUACCAACAGAAGAAGCACCGGCUAACUUCGUG